UACGAGGGGUGCAAGCGUUGCUCGGAAUUAUUGGGCGUAAAGGGUAGGUAGGUGGUCUCAUUUGUCCGGGGUGAAAGCCUUGAGCUUAACUCAAGAAGUGCCCCGGAAACGGUGAGACUCGAGUACUGGAGAGGGUCGUGGAAUUCCCGGUGUAGCGGUGAAAUGCGUAGAGAUCGGGAGGAACACCAGAGGCGAAGGCGGCGACCUGGACAGUUACUGACACUCAACUGCGAAAGCGUGGGGAGCAAACAGG
rnacentral:rRNA from 1 species